GUUCAACAAAGGCGGUGCUUCCUCAGGGCAGCAUGCACACUGGAGCCGCUGCUGGCUAUGAAGAGAACAAUAGUCAGACUGAAUGUUGAACAUCAGCUGCUUCCUCCUGCUGAUUUAAACCUUGGUGGACAGAUGGAACAUUGGCUGUGGAUUAUUCUGGCUGCUCUUUUCUCUGAGUGUAAAGGAGACUCAGUGAAGCAGACAGAAGGAGAAGUUGUUGCUGCUGCAGGAGAAUCACUGACUCUAAGAUGUACCUUUGAAACAUCCUAUACGACGCCCACAUUGUUCUGGUAUAAGCAAGAAGUAAACAGUUUCCCAAAGUUCAUGCUGAAGCAGAUGUCAUCAACAAAAGACAAAGCUCCAGAGAUCAACAACAACAGAUUUGAUGCUAACCUCAAUAAAUCCAACAAAUCCUUCAACCUGAAGAUCCAGGAUCUCCGUCUGUCAGACUCUGCUGUGUACUACUGCGCUCUGCAGCCCACAGUGACAGGAAACACCAGAACCUUAUACAAAAACCUGCAGUACUCCACAGCAGCCACUAGAGGGCAGCAGCAUCUUCACCUGGUUCCUCUCCAACAGUUCAAAGUGGGAGAAGUCAGAGGAAACCAGUGGAACCAGUUAGGAAACCCACUGGGUUAAAUAGCUCUCCAAUAAAAGCAAAAGUAUUUCU